rnacentral:rRNA from 1 species
GACGAACGCUGGCGGCGUGCUUAACACAUGCAAGUCGAGCGGUAAGGCCCUUUCGGGGGUACACGAGCGGCGAACGGGUGAGUAACACGUGGGUGACCUGCCCUCAGCUCUGGGAUAAGCCUGGGAAACUGGGUCUAAUACUGGAUAUGACUCCACGGUGCAUGUCGUGGGGUGGAAAGCCUUGUGCGGCUGAGGAUGGGGCCCGCGGCCUAUCAGCUUGUUGGUGGGGUGANGGCCUACCAAGGCGACGACGGGUAGCCGGCCUGAGAGGGCGACCGGCCACACUGGGACUGAGACACGGCCCAGACUCCUACGGGAGGCAGCAGUGGGGAAUCUUGCGCAAUGGGCGAAAGCCUGACGCAGCGACGCCGCGUGAGGGAUGACGGCCU